UACGUAGGGGGCAAGCGUUGUCCGGAUUUAUUGGGCGUAAAGAGCGUGUAGGCGGCUAGGUAGGUCCGUUGUGAAAACUCGAGGCUCAACCUCGAGACGUCGAUGGAAACCAUCUAGCUAGAGUCCGGAAGAGGAGAGUGGAAUUCCUGGUGUAGCGGUGAAAUGCGCAGAUAUCAGGAGGAACACCAAUUGCGAAGGCAGCUCGCUGGGACGUAACUGACGCUGAGACGCGAAAGCGUGGGGAGCAAACAGG
rnacentral:rRNA from 1 species